AUUAAAUUUAGGAUUUCUGGAAGAGUAGCUAAUGGCUGCUCUUAGCUGCUGAGCCAUCUCUCGGGCCCCCUCCACUUUCUUCUUAAAGAAACAAAAUCUUACUAUAUAGCUCAAACUAGCCCCAAAGACCAAAGAUUGCAAUCCGUCUGCAUCUUCCUAGUAGCUGAGAAUAUAUAGCUGGCAGCAUGCUCAACUUUUUUUUGUUUUGUUUUGUUUCCUCCCAAGACAAGGUUUCUCUGUACCUUUGGAGCCUGUUCUGAAACUCACUCUGCAGACCAGGCUGGACUACAACUCAGAGCUCCAGAUCCUCCUGUCUCCACCCCAGAGUGCUGGAAUUAAAGGCAUGAGCCACCACCAUGCAUGCUCAACAUUUUUAACUCCAACUAAAAGAUUAUAAAAGCCACCACUCAACAACCCAUUAUAGGAAUGCCAACAUGGAAAGGGAGAAGAGGAAGAAUCAAGACAUCAGUGUUUUCAGAAACCUGAGGAAUUCAAUUCUCUGCUUUCUAUUAAAGAAGUCCUGAAACUUAAGAAGCCCACCAGUACUAGAACUUGACAAGUUCACCCCUGGCUGUGUCGAUGCUGGCUGGAGUGCAGGGAAGGACCUACAUAUAGGCAGAUGCUUAUCAGAAAGGUCAAGUCUUAAAGAUGGAUCAUUAAAAAUCUGCAACUUAAGACAACUCUCAAAAUAGUCUAGCAAUUACACAAAAAAAUGAAUUGAAAUACACCUGUAAAUAGAUAACUUUUGAAACAGUCUAACAAUUAUACAAGAUAUUAAUUGAAAUAAGACCUGUAGUCAUUAAUGCCCAUGUUAGAUGAAAUUUACAUAUACAGUAGAAUCCCCAACUGAGCACAACUCAAGUCAGACGUGCCAAUUAGUAAUUAGAGGCAUAAAAAUUCUGAUAAAAUUGAAAUAGGAUUAAGCCACUAACACUAUAGUUGGUUAGCAGCCAAAGCAAGCAUUAAAUAAGGAAGGAAAGCAACAAGAGAUAAAUAGCUAAGUACUUUGCUAUCUCUUUUCCCUGAAAAAGGGGUGGGAUACACUACAGACAUUCUUGUGAAUAACCUCUAAACAU